UACGGAGGGUGCAAGCGUUAUCCGGAUUCACUGGGUUUAAAGGGAGCGUAGGUGGGUUGGUAAGUCAGUGGUGAAAUCCCCGAGCUUAACUUGGGAACUGCCAUUGAUACUAUCAGUCUUGAAUACUGUGGAGGUUAGCGGAAUAUGUCAUGUAGCGGUGAAAUGCUUAGAUAUGACAUAGAACACCAAUUGCGAAGGCAGCUGGCUACACAAAUAUUGACACUGAGGCUCGAAAGCGUGGGGAGUCAAACAGG
rnacentral:rRNA from 1 species